UGGAAAGAUGAAUCAAAGAAGGUAAUAAUCCUGUAGUCGAAAAUGUUGUCUCUCUUGAGUGGAUCCUGAGUACGACGGAGCACGUGAAAUUCCGUCGGAAUCUGGGAGGACCAUCUCCUAAGGCUAAAUACUCUCUAGUGACCGAUAGUGAACCAGUACCGUGAGGGAAAGGUGAAAAGCACCCCGGAAGGGGAGUGAAAUAGAACCUGAAACCGUGUGCUUACAAGUAGUCAGAGCCCGUUAAUGGGUGAUGGCGUGCCUUUUGUAGAAUGAACCGGCGAGUUACGAUUUGAUGCAAGGUUAAGCAGUAAAUGUGGAGCCGUAGCGAAAGCGAGUCUGAAUAGGGCGUUUAGUAUUUGGUCGUAGACCCGAAACCAGGUGAUCUACCCUUGGUCAGGUUGAAGUUCAGGUAACACUGAAUGGAGGACCGAACCGACUUACGUUGAAAAGUGAGCGGAUGAACUGAGGGUAGCGGAGAAAUUCCAAUCGAACCUGGAGAUAGCUGGUUCUCUCCGAAAUAGCUUUAGGGCUAGCCUCAAGUGAUGAUUAUUG
rnacentral:rRNA from 1 species